UACGGAAGGCAGCAGUGGGGAAUAUUGCACAAUGGGCGAAAGCCUGAUGCAGCUAUGCCGCGUGUAUGAAGAAGGCCCUUAGGGUUGUAAAGUACUUUCAUCGGGGAGGAAAAAACAAAACUAAUAAUUUUAUUUCUUGACGUUACCCGAAAAAGAAGCACCGGCUAACUCCGUGCCAGCAGCCGCGGUAAUACGGAGGGUGCUAGCGUUAAUCAGAAUUACUGGGCGUAAAGAGCACGUAGGUGGUUUUUUUAAAGUCAGAUGUGAAUCCCUGGGCUUAACCUAGGAACUGCAUUUUGAAACUGAAAUACUAGAGUAUCGUAGAGGGAGGUAGAAUUCUAGGUGUAGCGGUGAAAUGCGUAGAUAUCUGGAGGAAUACCUGUGGCGAAAGCGGCCUCCUAAACGAAUACUGACACUGAGGUGCGAAAGCGUGGGGAGCGAAACAGGGAUUAGAUACCCGU
rnacentral:rRNA from 1 species